rnacentral:rRNA from 1 species
ACCGCAUAACGUCGCAAGACCAAAGAGGGGGACCUUCGGGCCUCUUGCCAUCGGAUGUGCCCAGAUGGGAUUAGCUAGUAGGUGGGGUAACGGCUCACGUAGGCGACGAUCCCUAGCUGGUCUGAGAGGAUGACCAGCCACACUGGAACUGAGACACGGUCCAGACUCCUACGGGAGGCAGCAGUGGGGAAUAUUGCACAAUGGGCGCAAGCCUGAUGCAGCCAUGCCGCGUGUAUGAAGAAGGCCUUCGGGUUGUAAAGUACUUUCAGCGGGGAGGAAGGGAGUAAAGUUAAUACCUUUGCUCAUUGACGUUACCCGCAGAAGAAGCACCGGCUAACUCCGUGCCAGCAGCCGCGGUAAUACGGAGGGUGCAAGCGUUAAUCGGAAUUACUGGGCGUAAAGCGCACGCAGGCGGUUUGUUAAGUCAGAUGUGAAAUCCCCGGGCUCAACCUGGGAACUGCAUCUGAUACUGGCAAGCUUGAGUCUCGUAGAGGGGGGUAGAAUUCCAGGUGUAGCGGUGAAAUGCGUAGAGAUCUGGAGGAAUACCGGUGGCGGAGGCGGCCCCCUGGACGAAGACUGA